AAGGAAGCAAUCUGCCUUACAACUGAUAUGCUUAAUUUUUCAAUAAGAAAAACAAUACAUUUAUAGCCAACUACAUCAGUUAUUACUACCUAAUACCACUAAGUAGCCUAGUAACUUUAAAAACAUUGCUUGUACACAUGGAUAAGCUGACUUAUCAGCUCAACCAACCCAUCAAAACAUCAACAUCAAAGUUCAUUCUCAACCAAACUAAAUU
rnacentral:lncRNA from 1 species